rnacentral:rRNA from 1 species
UACGUAGGUGGCAAGCGUUGUCCGGAUUUAUUGGGUUUAAAGGGUGCGUAGGCGGCCCUGUAAGUCAGUGCUGAAAUAUCCCGGCUUAACCGGGAGGGUGGCAUUGAUACUGCGGGGCUAGAGUACAGAUGAGGUAGGCGGAAUUGACGGUGUAGCGGUGAAAUGCUUAGAUAUCGUCAAGAACACCUAUAGCGAAGGCAGCUUACUAGGCUGUAACUGACGCUGAGGCACGAAAGUGUGGGGAGUCAAAACAGG